GGGCCGUUGGCUCAGCUGGUAGAGCGUCCCGAUGGCAUCGGGGAGGUCAGGAGUUCGAUUCUCCUACGGUCCACCA
rnacentral:tRNA from 2 species